rnacentral:tRNA from 1 species
GGAAAAGUGGUUCAGUGGUAGAGCACUUGCCUUGCAUGCAUGAGGCCCUGGGUUCGAUUCCCCAGCACCA